rnacentral:rRNA from 1 species
UACGUAGGGGGCAAGCGUUAUCCGGAUUUACUGGGCGUAAAGGGCGCGUAGGCGGCGCGGUAAGUCACUUGUGAAAUCUCUGAGCUUAACUCAGAACGGCCAAGUGAUACUGCAGUGCUAGAGUGUGGAAGGGGCAAUCGGAAUUCUUGGUGUAGACGGUGAAAUGCGUAGAUAUCAAGAGGAACACCUGAGGUGAAGACGGGUUGCUGGGCCAACACGUGACGCUGAGGCGCGAAAGCCAGGGGAGCAAACGGG